UGGAAUCAUCCAGUCUCCUGGUUCCGGCUGGUUCUGGAAUGACAAAAGCAGCUAAGGACUCUAGGGAGAGCUCACCCUGGACAACCACGCUCCCUUCCUCAGAGGCAAGGACUACAGAAAACCGCAGGACUUAAACUAACGGAAAGGGAACAUCUUUAACAAGCACAAGGCCCUGCAUUUGAUCCUAUGGACAUGAAAACCCUGGUCCUACUCUGUAUAAGAAGGCCUUUUUCCGUUUUAAAGCUGCUUGGUUGUUUCUGAAGGACGGUUACUGAACACCUGCACACUCCGAGACUGCGGCAGAGCUGACAAGCUCCCGCCAGAGCUGAUCCCGCGCAUCCCCAGUCAAGUGAGCCGGACGGCACCAGCCCUUCAACACCGAUGGCAUGCGGGGCACUGCAGAGGUUGCCAAGAGAGGCGGGAAACCAGAAACCACAGGCCCUCUAAGUUCCUUGCAAGUAAAACAGGUCAGAGUUUUAUAAAACUAUAAAAAAAUUUUAAGUGAGAAUAUAUUAAAAGACUAUCAUUAAAAUGUCAGUACUAUGUCAAUGUUACUUUUAUUAAAUUCUAUGAUGUUUUCUGAAGAAAAAAUAGAAAAAUCUACCCUAUAGACAGGCAGUGGAGGGGGGGGGGACCUCUUAAAUAUAUGGUCAAAGCUCCCAAGACCACUCAGUGGAGGAACAAGCAGUUUUUAGAGCAAAAGUCAUCGUGUGAACUAAACAAUCCCACGGAGAAUUAAAUCUGACCAUCACCUUAAACAAUAACAACUGGACAAGGUGCAGUAGCACAGCCUGCAAUCCAAGCACUUCCAAUGAGUGCUGAGGCAAGGAGAAAUGCUGAGUUCAAAGCCAGCCUGAGUCACUGACGCCAGGACAACCAGGGUUAUACAGCAAAACCUUGUCUCAAAAUGAAAUAGCUAAAUGCAGUAGCUAAAAGCCCAAGAUUGGAGAAGCAAAAAGAAGUUAAACUACAUGAUGCUGGCUCUGUAAUGAAGAUACCUGAAGAAUAAACAGGAAAAAAAGCAGACAAACCAGACUCUACCAAGGCUCAGAACACCUGCGUAUUAAAUACUAGCCACAGGUUCAAAAACUAUAAACAGAGACAAAAAUAUUUGAAAAAUCACAUCUAUUAGUGUCUAGAAUGGUUUUUUUUUAAUUUCUGAAAUUUAACAAAAUCAACUGAAAAUUUGGUCAGAGGAAUAGAAUGAAUAUCCCUCCAAACAAAGUAUAAGGGCAUGAAAAACUGUUAGUAUCACUAAUUAGGAAAUCAAAACUACCUGAGACACCUUUAUACUCAUAAAGAGAACUACUAUAAAAAUACAUAGAAAAUGACAAGUGUUGGAGGAUACAUGGGGAAACUGGGUCUCCCAUAUGCUGCAGGUAGGAAUGGAAAAGUCUAGUAGCCUCUCAAAGCUACUACAAUUCCCUAGGUCCUAGCAAGUCUACCCACACUCUAUAGGCCUGAGAAUAAGAACUGAGAUACACAGUCAGCAAUGUUCACAGCAGCAUCACUCACAGGAGCCCAAAGGUGGUGACAACCCAAGUGCCUAUCAAAGAUGGAUAAACAAAUGUAAGUACAUACAAUGUAACACCACUCAACCCGAGAAGUGGUAGCAUCCUGAUGCGUGUUACAGAAUAGACUGACCUCAGAAUCAUAGGAUCUAGGGAUGGGGCUAGCUAGAUAGCUCAGUGCUUAGGAGCACUGAUUGCUCUUCCAGAGGACCCAAGCUCAAUUCCUAGCAUCCACAUGACAGCUCACAAGCACCCGUAACUCAAGGGCCAGAGGACUGGAUCUUGCCUCUGCAGGCACCAGGUACACUCUUGGUACACAGACGCACAUACUGACAAAAAAUAUAAACAUAAAAUAAAAAUAAUUAAAAAAACAAACCAGGGGCUGGAGAGAUGGCUCAGCCGGUAAGAGAACUGACUGCUCUUCAGAAGAUCCUGAGUUCAAAUCCCAGCAACCACAUGGUGGCUCACAACCAUCUGUAAGGAGAUCUGACACCCUCUUCUGGAGUGUCUGAAGACAACUACAGUGCACUUACUUAUAAUAAAUAAAUAAAUCUUAAAGAAACAAAAACAGAUAGUAAAUAUACUAAUCCAAAUACUCAGACAGAUCUCUGUGAUCUGUGAGUUCAAGUCUAGCCUGGUCUAUACAGAAAGUUCCAGGCUAGACAGUCAGACCUUGUCCCCCAAAAAAGAUACCUCCCUCAAAGGAAAAAAAAGAAAACAUAUUUUGUGGUUAACUACUUAUUUUUGGUGGAGGUUUUUAUUUUGGGAUAGGGUGCAUUAAAGUCAGCCUCACACAGGUUAGGCAAGCCCUGUAUCUCUGAGCUACGUACCCCAGCCCAUGCUCAUUUCUUGAUUGGACACCUGUAUAAUCAAUAUUCAAUUUAUAUAUAUUAAAUUAGGUAUCAGAUUCUUUAAGAUUAAUAACUAGAUAAAAUAAAGAUCUGAAAAAUAAAAGAAUAUUUUAAAGCCUUGGUUAUAGUACACACAAAAUUGUGUACACAACAUUUAAGUACUGUUACAAGAAUAUCAUAAAAGGAUCUUGUAUUAGAAGUACUAAUCUAGAAAUAAAAAUCACUAAGCUAUCUUGUUGAGAAUGUUCAAACAGAAGACCACAGCAAUCAUCUAAUUCAAUUUUUGCUAUCAGGAGGGAAAAAAAAAAAAAAAAAAAACAGAAUAAACUGCUUCUAAGGUGAAACCUAAAGAUAUUCCCAAAACAUUUUACAUACAAAGGUAUGAGCUGAGGAAAAACAACAUCUGUAAAGAUUGAUCAUCUCUGUACAGUCCUUCAAGUGGGAAAAGUUAGUUAGAUGUAAUGGUAGUCAAGAAUGAACCAGAUACUAGCACAAUUCAGCCAGCAAUCUUCAGAAUUAAAUGUGAGUUAUUUGCUAGUACUAAGUAGGAUUGAAGCAAGAAUUGUGUGUUACUUAUAGGAACUUCACAUAUACACGUAAGCUGAGACAAAUCCUGCUGCCAUCUUGGAAUCUAGAAAUAAGUAGGCUCCUGGGUAGAACAGUUACAGUUCUAUCCUAUGCGUGUUAAGCACAGUAUUUUGUACUUGCCUGU